CAGCCCGUGAGCUCUUUCGUUGGCAUGCGUUUUUCUUUUUCGACAGGGCUGUGUUUGCUGAUCUUUUAGUUUCUGCUUAGCUCUGUAUCGUCUUUUCCGAAGCACGGAGUGUUCAUCAUCUGGUGGUUCUGCUGCCUGUGUUUCAGGGUAGCCAGUUCUACGCUGUUGCAGUCUGCUUACACCAUUUUGUAGGGAGGAGAACUGUACCUGAAUUGCAGUUUUCAGCUUGAGGUUUUACAGCGCAACAGAAGAUUCUUGCCUCUUCUGCCUCAGAAAUGAAUGAAGCAAGUUCAGCUAAAAUUAGCAUGUUGUAGCUGAAUGUGAUGUAGCAGCAAUAUGGCCAUAAGUGAUGGCCUUUUCACUUCACUCCAGCUCUGAUGGCUUCUCAGGAUGGAAAGCCUGUAUGCAGGCUUGGAAGGAACUGUCUGAAUUAGGUGCAGUCCCUUGAAACCACAGGCUCCUCUGUAGCAGAAACUGUCAAGGAGGAUUCCCCAGGACUUGCACUUUGUAUUUAAUUUCCCACAAGCCACAAAACUCUCCAUUACCUUAAAACAACAUAUUUGUACAAAAGAACUAAACUACCGAAGUCUGCAACGUGUGACAGGAAGGGCACUGCCGUGUCUCCGCUUCCUUCAAGAGCUAGGAAUGUGCUUCGGGUGCGAUACAUCAUGAAUGUUUUUACUAAAGAAACACUAUAGUUUAUAGUAUUAUUUCUAGUCCUACCCAGAAUGUGAAAAAAGUGCAGUUCCCAAAAUCCUAGUAGAAUUUGUGUCUAAGGUUCUGGACUUCUCUCCCUAUUUUUCUCAAAGCGUAUCGUAAUUUCUUAAACAAGAUGUUCUUAACUGAGUUGAGAACAUUAUUCAGUAUAAUCCUUUUCUUACGGUCUUUGAGACACUAGAAAGUGACUUUCUUUAGGGCUGGAUGACUGGUGAGUCUAAGAUGUGGUUUGCAGUUGGGAUUCUUUAUUGUUUUCCUUCUUGAGAAUUGCUUAGAUUUCUUAUGCAAAAACUUCAUAUCUCAUUUUUACUGUAGAUACUAAGCCUGAGUAAGAAAAAAUAUUUUCAGAGGCUGUAUAGAAAGGUAGAAUACAGUGUAAUCAUCUCAUGCACGCUAGCAUAGCUAUACGCAUGUGGAAAGUGGUGGGGGAAGUACAAAGGGAAAGAAAGGAGCUGACUUGAAGAUAAAGGUGGUAGGAAUUGGUAAAUCUGUCAAAGUAACACUGUACAUGUAACCAUUUUGCUUGUAAAUUAAUGCUGCUCUAGCAUUUAUUUUGGUACGUGUGUGAAAACGACUCAAAGAUCAGAAAGUCACAGAAGUAGCUCAAUAAAUGAUUAAGACACUGUAUUGGAUAGUGAAGGAAAAUUGCCUCCUCUCCUUCUAAAAUGUCAUCUGUAGUUUGAUGUGAAAUUACUGCAGUCUUUACAAAACUGUGUAUAUGUUUUCAAGACAAGUUGGUGGGUUUUUUUCUGCAUGGUGAAAAAGGAUCUCCUAAUCCAGCAAAAAUAAAAUAGGCCAAAUG